rnacentral:rRNA from 1 species
GUGAGGAAUAUUGGUCAAUGGGCGGGAGCCUGAACCAGCCAAGUCGCGUGAAGGAAGAAGGAUCUAUGGUUCGUAAACUUCUUUUGCAGGGGAAUAAAGUGUAGGACGUGUCCUGUUUUGUAUGUACCCUGAGAAUAAGGAUCGGCUAACUCCGUGCCAGCAGCCGCGGUAAUACGGAGGAUCCGAGCGUUAUCCGGAUUUAUUGGGUUUAAAGGGUGCGUAGGUGGUUUGAUAAGUCAGCGGUGAAAGUUUGCAGCUUAACUGUAAAAAUGCCGUUGAAACUGUCGGACUUGAGUGUAAAUGAGGUAGGCGGAAUGCGUGGUGUAGCGGUGAAAUGCAUAGAUAUCACGCAGAACUCCGAUUGCGAAGGCAGCUUACUAAGCUACAACUGACACUGAAGCACGAAAGCGUGGGGAUCAAACAGGAUUAGAUACCCCAGUAGUCC